CAGUCAAUAUUUUUUUUUUGCCGUUAGGAAUUAAAAACCUGCAAAACCGCAAUGUUGAAUAUGAUGUGGUUCAACAUUUUGGUGUAUAUAAUUUUAAUGCUUGUGCAAGCAAGAAAAAAAGUUGGACGCACCAAUGCAACCAGUGCAAAUAGUCUUGAGUCCUGACUACAAUAAUGAAUUUCACUCAAGAUAGACUGGAGGUCAGAUGGACGACUUUAGAGAUGUAAUUAUUAACUGCAGUUCAUGCUUUUUGCUAACGGAAAAUUAUCAAGCAUCAUAGCCAUUGAAAAAACUCACGCUAAGGAAUGCUGCCGGUAAUCAAGAUCAGGCAGCAAGGAAGGAAGCAGCUCUCUUUGUUUUUUUCCCCGACAGUUGUUUAGUGUAAUUUUACUUUGAUGGAUUUCGUGGCAAAUUUGUCAUCAAGGUAAACUCCCUGUCGAGGAUCGCCGUGGUCACUAUCUGCCCAUUGGUUCUGUUAAUAGACAACCAGUCUGCAGGAUCAUUCAGCUUGGAGUACCUAAAAGCACGGGCACAAGUCGAUGGAGAGGGUCGGUGCGAAUGGUGAAGUGACCGGAUGGAUCGCCACUGAUGAUCCUGUAAACAGCAUUCCAAUUGGGGGAAUGCGGUUGGUCGGCAUCUAUCACUGUCAGGUUAGCCACCACAACAUCCACCCGGUUCUCAGGAACCUCACCG